CCUACGGGUCGCAGCAGUGGGGAAUAUUGCACAAUGGGCGCAAGCCUGAUGCAGCCAUGCCGCGCGUAUGAAGAAGGCCUUCGGGUUGUAAAGUACUUUCAGCGAGGAAGAAGGCAUUAAGGUUAAUAACCCUGAUGAUUGACGUUACUCGCAGAAGAAGCACCGGCUAACUCCGUGCCAGCAGCCGCGGUAAUACGGUGGGUGCAAGCGUUAAUCGGAAUUACUGGGCGUAAAGCGCACGCAGGCGGUUGAUUAAGUUAGAUGUGAAAUCCCCGGGCUUAACCUGGGAAUGGCAUCUAAGACUGGUCAGCUAGAGUCUUGUAGAGGGGGGUAGAAUUCCAUGUGUAGCGGUGAAAUGCGUAGAGAUGUGGAGGAAUACCGGUGGCGAAGGCGGCCCCCUGGACAAAGACUGACGCUCAGGUGCGAAAGCGUGGGGAGCAAACAGGAUUAGAUACCCCUGUAGUC
rnacentral:rRNA from 1 species